rnacentral:rRNA from 1 species
GCAGAGAUUAAAACUCGUACCUUUUGCAUCAUGAUUUAGCCAGUAAAACUCAAGCACAGCGCCCUUUAGUUUGAUACCCCGAAACUGAGCGAGCUACUUCAAGACAGCCUAUCUAAUUAGGGCAAACCCGUCUCUGUGGCAAAAGAGUGGGAAGAGCUUCAAGUAGAGGUGAUAAACCUACCGAGCCCAGUUAUAGCUGGUUGCCUGAGAAAUGAAUAGAAGUUCAGCCUUUUAGUUUCUUAACAAACUAAAAGAGUUAGCCAACGGAGGUACAGCUCCUUUGGAAAAGAUACAACUUUAUUAGGAGGUAAAAGAUCAUAGUUAUUAUCUAGGUAUAUUGUUUUAGUGGGCCUAAAAGCAGCCACCUUAUUAGAAAGCGUUAAAGCUCAAACACCUUAUUAUGUUAUUAUAUCUUCUCCCCCUAAAUAUAUCAGGCCGCCUCAUGCAACCAUGAGAGUGACCAUGCUAAAAUGAGUAAUAAGAGGGGACCCUCUCCCCGCACAUGUGUAAGUCGGAACGGACUUUCCACCGACAAAUAACCGCCCCCAAACAAAGAGGGAAAUGUAUAAUUACUAGAAAAAUAUACAUCGUUAACCCUACACAGGAGUGCAUACAAGGAAAGACUAAAAGAAAAGGAAGGAACUCGGCAAACAAGCCUCGCCUGUUUACCAAAAACAUCGCCUCUUGUAAAAAUAAGAGGUCCCGCCUGCCCUGUGACUAUAUGUUUAACGGCCGCGGUAUUUUGACCGUGCGAAGGUAGCGCAAUCACUUGUCUUUUAAAUGAAGACCCGUAUGAAUGGCAUAACGAGGGCUUAACUGUCUCCCCUUUCCAGUCAAUGAAAUUGAUCUCCCCGUGCAGAAGCGGGGAUAAAAACAUAAGACGAGAAGACCCUAUGGAGCUUGAAACCUAUGAUAGUACACGUCAAACACCUCAACAUAAAGAAAAGAACUAAGUGUCUCCCUAUCAAAGUGUUUUUGGUUGGGGCGACCGCGGGGAAAACAAAACCCCCAUGUGGACCGGGAAUAUCCUACAACCCUAGAGCUACCGCUCUAAGUAACAGAAUAUCUGACCUUCAAGAUCCGGCAAAGCCGAUCAACGGACCGAGUUACCCUAGGGAUAACAGCGCAAUCCUCUCCCAGAGCCCAUAUCGACGAGGGGGUUUACGACCUCGAUGUUGGAUCAGGACAUCCUAAUGGUGCAG